rnacentral:rRNA from 1 species
UACGAAGGGUGCAAACGUUGCUCGGAAUUAUUGGGCGUAAAGCGCACGUAGGCGGCUUUGCAAGUCGGAUGUGAAAUCCCUCGGCUUAACCAAGGAAGUGCAUCCGAAACUGCAGAGCUUGAGUACUUAAGAGGAUCGCGGAAUUCCCGGUGUAGAGGUGAAAUUCGUAGAUAUCGGGAGGAACACCAGUGGCGAAGGCGGCGAUCUGGGAAGAUACUGACGCUGAGGUGCGAAAGCGUGGGGAGCAAACAGGG